GUCCUAGCUGUAAACGGUGCACAUUUGCUGUAAGAGGAAUCGACCCCUUUUUGUGGCGAAGCUAACGCGUUAAAUGUGCCGCCUGGGGAGUACGGUCGCAAGAUUAAAACUCAAAGAAAUUGACGGGGGCCUGCACAAGCGGUGGAGUAUGUGGCUUAAUUCGAUGCAACGCGAAGAACCUUACCUGGCCUUGACAUGUAUCUAGUAGAAGGGUGAAAGCCCGACGAGGUAGCAAUACCAGGGUACACAGGUGCUGCAUUGCUGUCGU
rnacentral:rRNA from 1 species